ACCUGCUUUCUCUUUCACUUUUACUGUACCUCUACCAAUAGAAGAUUGUUUAUCAUGGAAAGUACAGAGCAAAAUCAAAACUAAAACAGAAUUGUUCUGAUUAUUUUGGACUAAUUCUUAAUUUAAUAGAAAUUCAGUACUGAUAUUUGCUAAAUAAUUUUAGCAUUGCUUUGCAUGUGUGCAUGACAUUUUUGCUCGCGAAGUUUAUAAUGUACUGCAGUAAAACACAUAAAACAGUUUAAAAAUUAAAAUAAUUAAAGUUUUGUUAAUUUAAUUUUUUAAAUUUAUUUUCUAGAACAUGCUUAUUUAAAUCUCUUUUUAUCUGUUAUGUUUGCCCGCCAUCUUUAACAGACAGUAGGAAUCUUGAGUAUUUGGAAGAUCUGGGAAACUUCCGUGGAAAGUCCUCUAGUAAAAACUCCGCAGGUGGAACCAGUAAAUAAAAGCAGCGGUGAGUCCGUGUCGAUGCACAUCUCUUCUCAACGCACCUUAAGAUCACCUGAAGUCACUUUAACGACAUUGUGGAGCUUGUGUUUCAUACUUUAUCGUCAAUUGCAAAGUUAAAAAGCUGCGCGUGGCAAAAGGAGGCUCGCAGUGACUUGAUAAUACCUGCAUCGUCAGACAAGAAUACGAAAUCAAGAUGUUUUGUGAACCUAUUCUUUGGAACAUUGCUUGCAACGAGCAAGUUCAGAAAACCCCAAAGCACUCCAGGGAUCCAAUAUGCCUGGUGGAAAUCUUAUCUGACAGAUCCAUGUCCUUUGAGGACAUCAGUGGAGAAGGAUGGGUUUCAGAACACAAUACUUCAUCCGUACAGGAUCAUCGGGAAUGGAGUAAACAACAGAGAUCAGCCAGAAGCCAAAUUCUCCAUUCUGUAAAGUCUGCAAAAUUCUGGACAUUCCUGCAGUUUAAGACAUCUGCACAAGCAUGAGGAGACAACUACUGCAGAAUUAAAGGGACUUUUGUUUAUUUGCACCUUUUAGGAAAUGUUCUUAUAUGCCUAAAUAUGUUUUAGUAUAUUAAAUGUGUAAAUUCUAUUUAUUAAGGAAACUGUCCAAUAUGUUCAAAUUUAUACUGAAACAAUUUGUAGUUGGUGUUAUAACUACAAAAUAGUGUUAACAGUGCCUGCUGUUGCUUAAGCUUCCAUUAGAGGGCAACAAUGAGUUGCAUUCGGUAAUGUAUUUGGUGAUCAGCUGGUCUCAGGUCAGCUCACAUAUCAGUUUAUUCUUUAAUUGAUGAAAUGGAUGAAUUCUGUAUUUGCACUCUUUUUUUGUGUUGGUGUGCAUUUACAAAUGUGUAGAAUGUGUAAAUAAAACCAAAGAUAAUUUAUUUUUAA